CCAUAGCCCCGAUGGGAACGGCAUCCUUUUUUGUCUUAUCCGAAAACUUGUUUUUGAUGACAAAACUUCUAAGACAAAAAAGAUAUAGUGGACAGCGGGAUUAAGC
rnacentral:sRNA from 1 species